rnacentral:lncRNA from 13 species
GGGAAGGUACUUACGAGGACUCCUGAAUACAUAGGGCACUGCUGAGGACCAUGGACUCUUAAAUGGAAAAUGAAAAGGAGUACUAAAACCAAUGAACAAAAAACAAUGACGACAAAUAUUGCCUAAAGUGCCUUGCCAGAUUCAAAGCCUAACUAUGAUAUAAUAAAAAGGUGCAUCAGCUUUGCUGUUUUUCUAUAGCACUGAGUGGCACAAGAUCCUCUUCUGUGAGUGACCUGCUGCCCUUUGCCACUGCCCUGGCUCCAGACACCUGUCAAUGAUUGCAGUUCCUAUACAAGUGAACUGUUUAUUUUUAGUUCCUGGUCCUUAUUCCUCUAAUCUGCUCUAUGAAGACCUAAAUUCUAAAUGGAGACUCAGGCUUAAUUUCUUGUAA